rnacentral:rRNA from 1 species
AUUGAACGCUGGCGGCAUGCUUUACACAUGCAAGUCGAACGGUAACAGGCCGCAAGGUGCUGACGAGUGGCGAACGGGCGUGUAAUGCAUCGGAACGUGCCCAGUCGUGGGGGAUAACGCAGCGAAAGCUGUGCUAAUACCGCAUACGAUCUAUGGAUGAAAGCGGGGGACCGUAAGGCCUCGCGCGAUUGGAGCGGCCGAUGUCAGAUUAGGUAGUUGGUGGGGUAAAGGCCUACCAAGCCGACGAUCUGUAGCUGGUCUGAGAGGACGACCAGCCACACUGGGACUGAGGCACGGCCCAGACUCCUACGGGAGGCAGCAGUGGGGAAUUUUGGACAAUGGGCGCAAGCCUGAUCCAGCAAUGCCGCGUGCAGGAAGAAGGCCUUCGGGUUGUAAACUGCUUUUGUACGGAACGAAACGGUCUGGGUUAAUACCCUGGGCUAAUGACGGUACCGUAAGAAUAAGCACCGGCUAACUACGUGCCAGCCGCCGCAGUAACAC